rnacentral:tRNA from 1 species
GCCUCAUUAGCUCAAUGGUAGAGCACGAUACUUCUAAUAUUGGGACCUUAGUUCGAGUCUGAGAUGAGGUA